GACGGAGGGUGCAAGCGUUGUUCGGAAUUACUGGGCGUAAAGGGCGCGUAGGCGGUCUGUUAAGUUCGGUGUGAAAGCCCCCGGCUCACCUGGGGAACUGCGCCGGAAACCGACAGACUCGAGUACCGGAGAGGAGGGUGGAAUUCCUGGCGUAGCGGUGAAAUGCGUAGAUAUCAGGAGGAACACCGGUGGCGAAGGCGGCCCUCUGGGCCUUACCUGACGCUGAGGAGCGAAAGCGUGGGGAGCGAACAGG
rnacentral:rRNA from 1 species